AUGGAAGUUUCUGAAGCCUCUGGCUUAUCUCCACUCCCUGUUAGGUCGCCGCUGCGUCACCCUGUUAGGUCGCUGCCCGACGUUGAAGUGGUAGCUGCGAGUGCUUCAAGUGGCGGGGCGCGGAUCUGUCAGUCACCUCUUCAAUCAGAGUUCUACUGCACACACACAACGAGCGCUCAAGAUUUAGAUCCCCACUUUAACAAAACCAAAUCGCAGACCAGAAAGAGCAGACAUGGACAGAUUUCACACCUGUUGAAUGACGGCAUCAAAAACUCCAUGCGCGCCGGAGCAAAGAUUCUCGAACCCUAG
rnacentral:rRNA from 1 species